GACCCUUCUAUAUAUUUUGUAUUUUUAUAUGUGCAUAUAUUUUUUUUACCUUCGGUGUUUAUAUAUUAAUUUCUUUUAUAUGUUGAAGGUUAUGGUAUUAUUUGUAUAUGAUGAAAUGUAUGGAAGCGUGGGGUUAUAUAAAGUCGUUGGACCAAAUUUGAUGUUUGUUCUCUAAUCAAUGAUUUCUUUGUCUCUAAGUAAUAAAUAUAUAUAUAU